CCUGCCAGUAGUCAUAUGCUUGUCUCAAAGAUUAAGCCAUGCAUGUCUAAGUCCAAGCUGUGUUCACACGGCGAGACCGCGGACGGCUCAUUAAAUCAGUCGUGGUCCAAAUGGGCCAGUGCUAAUCCUACUUGGAUAACUGUGGUAAUUCCAGAGCUAAUACAUGCAACUGAUGUCCCGAAGGCGGUGUUUGUGCUUGCUUGUCUUGCGCUCUCAUUGCUCUGACGGAUGCUUUUAUUAGACCAAGCCGCUGAGGACUCGGAGGGUUUGUUCUUUCCUUGUUCGACUCGUGUAAUGGUGACUCUGGAUAACCAAUUUGACAAGCGCACGUACUUCUCUUCUGAGCGAGACGGCGCUGCCACUUUCGAGUGUCUGCCUUAUCAGCUAUCAACCGUUCGUUAUGCGCGACCGAUGGCUUUGACGGGUAACGGGGAAUCAGGGUUCGAUUCCGGAGAGGCAGCCUGAGAGACGGCUACCACGUCCAAGGACGGCAGCAGGCACGCAAAUUACCCAAUCCCAGCAAAUGGGGGAGGUAGUGACGAAAUCUAACGAUGCGGGCGCCCUUUCUGGGGCCCCGCAAUCGGAAUGGGCACUUUCUAAACAACCUGUUGAGAACCUACUGAAGGGCAAGUCUGGUGCCAGCAGCCGCGGUAAUUCCAGCUUCAGCAGCAUCUAUUAAAGUUGCUGCGGUUAAAAGGCUCGCAGUUGAAUGUCUGUAUCGAGCGCAGGUCAGGUGGACGUUGGGGCGUGGAAGUACGGGCAGUUGGAUGUUCGUGGGGACUGUUGGUACUUCGCGUGCUGCUCUCUUUGCGACUCCAUCGGCUUUUCCACACACCCCCGUCCGUGACAAGCCUCCUCGCUCCGUUACAUAACGGGAAUCGGUCAAACGGAGUGUGGUUUCUUGCGCGCUUGCGUACGCUUGCGUGCGUUCGCGUUGCGGGUGCUGCGUUAAGCUCCAUCGGUUUCACGGUCACCUUGAGUAAAUCAGAGUGCUCAAAGCAGUCGUAGGGGCCUUGCGCCCUGUGAACAGUCUUGACGGACUGACUUGGUUUUGCAUGGCAUGUCGGAAGACGACGUCGUGUGCUGGCUCAGAGGAUAAAUCAGUGGUACAAGCCAGCCUCGACGUAAUGAUUAAAAGGGACGGUCGAGGGCAUUGGUAUUGCGAGGCGAGAGGUGAAAUUCUGUGACCCCCGCAAGACCUCCUGAAGCGAAAGCGUCUGCCAAGGACGUUUUCAUUAAUCAUGAACGAAAGUUAGAGGAUCGAAGGCGAUCAGAUACCGCCCUAGUUCUAACCCUAAACGAUGCCAACCAUCAAUCCGCGCGUAGCACCCUUCUUAACGGGCUCGGCGGGCAGCUCCCCACUCACGGGAAACCAGAGCCUCUGGGUUCCGGGGGGAGUCUGGUUGCAAAGCUGAAACUUAAAGGAAUUGACGGAAAGGCACCACCAGGCGUGGAGCCUGCGGCUUAAUUUGACCCAACACGGGCCAUCUCACCAGGCCAGCACUCUUGUACGAUUGACAGAUUGAGAGCUCUUUCUCGAUUCAGUGGAUGGUGGUGCAUGGCCGUUCUUAGUUGGUGGAGUGAUCUGUCUGGUUAAUUCCGAUAACGAA
rnacentral:rRNA from 1 species